rnacentral:rRNA from 1 species
UACGAAGGGUGCAAGCGUUAGUCGGAAUUACUGGGCGUAAAGCGUGCGUAGGCGGUUUCUUAAGUCGGAUGUGAAAGCCCUGGGCUCAACCUGGGAAUGGCACUCGAUACUGGGAAGCUGGAGUGCGGUAGAGGAGGGUGGAAUUCCCGGUGUAGCGGUGAAAUGCGUAGAGAUCGGGAGGAACAUCAGUGGCGAAGGCGACCCUCUGGACCAGCACUGACGCUGAGGCACGAAAGCGUGGGGAGCAAACAGC